rnacentral:rRNA from 1 species
UACGUAGGGGGCUAGCGUUGUCCGGAAUCAUUGGGCGUAAGGAGCGUGUAGGCGGUCCGGUAAGUCCGUUGUGAAAGUCAGGGGCUCAACCCUUGAAUGCCGGCGGAUACUGUCGGGCUAGAGUCCGGAAGAGGCGAGUGGAAUUCCCGGUGUAGCGGUGAAAUGCGCAGAUAUCGGGAGGAACACCUAUGGCGAAGGCAGCUCGCUGGGACGGUACUGACGCUGAGACGCGAAAGCGUGGGGAGCGAACAGG